GAUGAACGCUGGCGGCGUGCCUAAUACAUGCAAGUCGAGCGAACAGAUAAGGAGCUUGCUCCUUUGACGUUAGCGGCGGACGGGUGAGUAACACGUGGAUAACCUACCUAUAAGACUGGGAUAACUUCGGGAAACCGGAGCUAAUACCGGAUAACAUAUUGAACCGCAUGGUUCAAUAGUGAAAGGCGGCUUUGCUGUCACUUAUAGAUGGAUCCGCGCCGUAUUAGCUAGUUGGUAAGGUAACGGCUUACCAAGGCAACGAUACGUAGCCGACCUGAGAGGGUGAUCGGCAAACCUGGACUGAGACACGGUCCAGACUCCUACGGGAGGCAGCAGUAGGGAAUCUUCCGCAAUGGGCGAAAGCCUGACGGAGCAACGCCGCGUGAGUGAUGAAGGUCUUCGGAUCGUAAAACUCUGUUAUCAGGGAAGAACAAAUGUGUAAGUAACUGUGCACAUCUUGACGGUACCUGAUCAGAAAGCCACGGCUAACUACGUG
rnacentral:rRNA from 1 species